rnacentral:misc_RNA from 1 species
GUUCAAGAUGACAUAGAAAAAGAGGUUCCUGGUUCUGUGCCCAUUCCACCCGAUGAUACUUCGAAAGAAGAGAUAGUUGACUGUUUGGUGAAAAAUGUGGAGGCCAUGAUAAAAGCUGACAGGAAAAUUACCGCACUUAAAGAAUUGCAGGGCCAUAUAUGGAGAACUGGUUUUCAAAAUAAUGAUUUGCAGGGUGAUGUUUUUGGUGAUGUUCCUGAAGCUCUGAGGAAGUGGCACGCAAAUGGCAUCAAGAUUUACAUAUAUUCUAGCGGCAGUAGAGAGGCUCAACGGCUUCUCUUUGGGAACACAAAGUAUGGUGACUUGAGG